UCNUCUGGCUUAACUGGGGGCUUGCGGUGGGUACGGGCCGGCUUGAGUGCGGUAGGGGAGGCUGGAACUCCUGGUGUAGCGGUGGAAUGCGCAGAUNUCAGGAAGAACACCGGUGGCGAAGGCGGGUCUCUGGGCCGUUACUGACGCUGAGGAGCGAAAGCGUGGGGAGCGAACAGGAUUAGAUACCCUGGUAGUCCACGCCGUAAACGUUGGGCACUAGGUGUGGGGGGCCUUUUCCGGGUUUUCCGCGCCGUAGCUAACGCAUUAAGUGCCCCGCCUGGGGAGUACGGCCGCAAGGCUAAAACUCAAAGGAAUUGACGGGGGCCCGCACAAGCGGCGGAGCAUGCGGAUUAAUUCGAUGCAACGCGAAGAACCUUACCAAGGCUUGACAUGUGCCGGUCGGCCCCGGAGACGGGGUUUCCUCCUUGUGGGGCCGGUUCACAGGUGGUGCAUGGUUGUCGUCAGCUCGUGUCGUGAGAUGUUGGGUUAAGUCCCGCAACGAGCGCAACCCUUGUCUCGUGUUGCCAGCACGUUGUGGUGGGGACUCGCGGGAGACUGCCGGGGUCAACUCGGAGGAAGGUGGGGAUGACGUCAAAUCAUCAUGCCCCUUAUGUCUUGGGCUUCACGCAUGCUACAAUGGCCGGUACAGAGGGCUGCGAUACCGUGAGGUGGAGCGAAUCCCUUAAAGCCGGUCUCAGUUCGGAUCGGUGUCUGCAACUCGACACCGUGAAGUUGGAGUCGCUAGUAAUCGCAGAUCAGCAACGCUGCGGUGAAUACGUUCUCGGGCCUUGUACACACCGCCCGUCACG
rnacentral:rRNA from 1 species